rnacentral:lncRNA from 1 species
GUGGGGUUUCCCAGGAAGCGGAGCAAGGCACGGCUGGAGCCCCUAGGGUGCGCUGUGCGGCUUUGGGCGUGUGUGGGAGCAGGAAGACCUGGUCCAGGGGCAGGAGGAGGAGCGGGUGGGAUGCGCUGAGCGGCAGGGGAGGCUGAGAGGACGGCGGAAAUAGGCGCGGUCACUGCUGGGAACCCUUUUCCCAGAGGAGGCCUGACCUUGUGGGAUCUCGAGAUCCUGGGGGGCGGGUGGGCCUGCGAGUCCCGGAAUGAGAAACUGCUGUGUGCCCCGCUUGCCUGAGGCCCCUUGUCCCAGACGUGUCAGUAUGGGGUCUGGCUCACCCCGCCUUGCAAGUAAAGCCCUGUCCUCAAUGCCGCCACAUGCCCGGUGAGCUGUUACGGAGGCUGCGCAGUCAAGCGUACGUCGUAUUUCAAGCCUUCCCCAUCAGCCGCAGCAGACCACGGAAGCUCGACCUUGGACUUCGGGGCAGGCAGGCGAAGAAGAUGGAGAUGUCAGUGACCUGCCAGCCCCGAUGGAUUCAGACGAUGAUGUUCGAGGGCACUGUGCUGGGAUGUGGGGACACACCAGGCAGCAAAACAGACCAACGUCAUCGUGCUGAUGUCUGCAUCCCUUCCUCCAGCUCACUGUGGUGUUUUCUGGUCUCUGUGUGAUGCCCCAGGCAGCCCUUCCCAGCUCAUGUUGGGCUCUAUUCUCUCUUCCCCUUUUUUUCUUUUUGAGGAAGAUUAGCCCUGCACUAACAUCUGUUGCCAAUCCUCCCCUUUUUGCUGAGGACGACUGGCCCUGAGCUAACGUCCAUGCCCACCUUCCUCUACUUUAUGCGUGGGAUGCCUUCCACAGCAUGGCUUGACAAGCAGUGCGUAGGUCUGCACCUGGGAUCCGAACUGGCGAACCCCGGGCUGCCAAAGCAGAAAGUGUGAACUUAACCUCUGCGCCACCAGGCUGGCCCCUCUCUCUCUUCCCUUUUUGCAAGAAGGAG